rnacentral:tRNA from 1 species
GUCUCUGUAGCUUAAA